rnacentral:rRNA from 1 species
AUUGAACGCUGGCGGCAUGCUUUACACAUGCAAGUCGAACGGUAACAGGCCUUCGGGUGCUGACGAGUGGCGAACGGGUGAGUAAUGCAUCGGAACGUACCCAGAGGUGGGGGAUAACGCAGCGAAAGCUGUGCUAAUACCGCAUGUGAUCUGAGGCUGACAGCGGGGGACCGAGCAGCAAUGUUUGGCCUCGCGCCUUUGGAGCGGCCGAUGUCGGAUUAGCUAGUUGGUGGGGUAAAGGCCUACCAAGGCGACGAUCCGUAGCUGGUCGGAGAGGACGACCAGCCACACGGGGAGUGAGACACGGCCCAGACUCCUACGGGAGGCAGCAGUGGGGAAUUUUGGACAAUGGGCGCAAGCCUGAUACAGCAAUGCCGCGUGCGGGAAGAAGGCCCUCGGGUUGUAAACCGCUCUUGGCAGGAACGACACGGUGUCCGCUAAUACCGGGCGCUAAUGACGGUACCUGCAGAAUAAGCACCGGCUAACUACGUG